rnacentral:sRNA from 1 species
CUAACUCAGGUAUCUGGUAACUCAUUAAUUCAGCCUUUACGUCAUAUAAAACCGGAUUGUUAGGUUUAACUAUCAGUGGAAGAGCUAGAAAGAGGUGAAGUAAAAACAUUCACCACUAGUAGCAACAACAUCCUGAGUGAAAGGUGUUAACAUUUGUCAGCAUCUAAUCUGCUCCGUAAAAUAAAUCUCAUUGCGACAUCUUCCUAGGAAAAAAAAGGAACAUCUAUCUGAUCUGACAUAAUCAUGUAAAUUUAUUUUGUAGUAGUUAACAAGACUUAUUUUCUUGUUUAAUUUUCAGCUGCUGCUACUACCACUACUGUCAAUACUGGUUCUACAACAGUCGAAACUACUACAAGUGGUGGUGUUCAGCUCUUCCAUCUGUCUUGGAUGGCACUGCUCUCAGUAGUCAUGGCACGAUUCCUCAACUAUGUAAAUUAAAAAUCGCACUCCGAAAUCAAGAUAGUUGAUACAAUUUAGCUUUUUUUUUCAUUAGACUUCAGCUAAUGUUAACUUGUUUUUGCAAUCUUAAGAAAUAAGGACUAGAAUUUUUUUUCUUUGACAAAAUAGUUUCGAAGCAUUCAAACCUAAGUCCAAGGAACACGGUCAAUUGUAUCUUACAUUAGAAUCGACUUAUGAUACUAUCAUUUUAACCAUCGAUUGAUAAAAACCAAUAGCUUGAUAACAAUAAUGGUCUUCUUAAUGGGACUAUGUAGAUAUAGCAAUCUCUGAAAGACCCAUACAUAUGUAUUAUAUAGUAAGACUUCAACUUCCAUGGUCUAAUUUUGUUUAUCACAUAGAACUAUGACUCAGACAACUACAUAAGAUUAAAACUAGACAUAGAUCUGAAUUUAGAUAAAGCGUGACCCUAGGAAAUAAUUUAAGAAAUGAUCUGAUAUUAAAUUAUUUAAAACAUAAUAAACCUAGUUGCUUUGGUUCAAAAAAAUGUCCGUCCUCUAAUAUGUUUGUUUUAUAAAGGGAGAUAACGAUUGGAUAACAUGAAUCUGGUAGUGGCGCAAUCAUGUGACUUAUAUCACGUGAUAUUAUUUGUACGCUAUUCAAAAUGUCGGCUGUUAUUAUUUUUAAAUAAGUAUUACUAAUAUUUUUUUUUAACUAGAUCUUUGAAAAUGUUUUAUUUAAAAGACUAUUUAGUACAUUUCAUGUAUUUUACUGGCUGGAAAUUUCCUUCAAACUGCUUGGAACUAUGUAAAAAAAUGAAGAUAUAUGUGUCCAUGAUUGUGUUCCCCACUGGAGGAAUUCAUACGCGGCUCUCUACCUUGUUUCUAUUGUAAGGUGUUGAGUAUUAAUAUUAUACUUAAUAAAAUUGUAUAACUUACA